UCAUUUGUUUCAUUUGUUCCAACUUCGCGGCCAAUCGGAGGCCGCCCUUAUUUAAACUUCUCGAGUUUACAUGCUUUUUGCGCCCAAUCAGACGGCCCGCUUGUUUCAACUUCAUCACGUGGUAUCGGCUCUCCCUUCCGCUGUUUCAAAUGGCACUUCAGGAAGUGCCGUAGAUCGCCGGAGUUCUGCGACAGGAGCGCGGUUUUACCGAUCCUGCCGAAAUCCCGAGUAGAGGUCCCGCAGCCCCUGCUUCCGGCUCCUAUGAAGAGGAAGGCGGGCCCCAGCCACAGCGGUCCUUCCGGGCCACCGAGGCCUGCCUCGCAAAGUUCUGAGCUGCCGCUUCCUGAGAGUUGGCGUGCGGCCUUCUCGAGGGAACAGCGGGAGCGGAUUGGUCGGGCGCUGUAUGUAUUGUAUGAGAAAUGUACUGGAUCAAUAAACAUGCACGGAUGAAGUGCUAAAA